rnacentral:rRNA from 1 species
UACGAAGGGGGGCUAGCGUUGCUCGGAAUCACUGGGCGUAAAGGGUGCGUAGGCGGGUCUUUAAGUCAGGGGUGAAAUCCUGGAGCUCAACGUCCAGAACUGCCUUUGAUACUGAAGAUCUUGAGUUCGGGAGAGGUGAGUGGAACUGCGAGUGUAGAGGUGAAAUUCGUGAGAUAUUCGCAAGAACACCAGUGGCGAAGGCGGCUCACUGGCCCGAUACUGACGCUGAGGCACGGAAAGCGUGGGGAGCAAACAGGG